ensembl:lncRNA
AGGAGGCGAGAGCUCCUAUAGACAGAGGGGGCAGGGGGCUACGUGCAGAAACACACAGUCGUCUCUAGCAGUCAUCUUUAAAUCGGUCAUCAGUGGUCUCACCAGCAUCAGCCCGUUUCAGGAUAGUUAGCAGCAUCUCUAGCCUCUACCUUGGAGUCCUUUGACCUGUACUCUUGAGAGUCUGUUGGACAGCUAGGAGAUCAAACCAGUCCACCCUAAAGGAAGUCAACCCUGAACAUUCACUGGAAGGACUGAAGCGGAAGCUGAAGCUCUGAUCCUUUGGCUACCUGAUGCGAAGAGCUGACAUAUUGGAAAAGACCCUGAUGUUGGGAACGACUAAAGGCAAGAGAAGAAGCGGGGUGACAGAGAAUGAGAUGGUUGGAUGGCAUCACCGACUCAAUGGACAUGAGUCUGAGUAGACUCAGGGAAGGAGUGAUGGACAGGGAGGCCUAGCGUGCUGCAGUCCACGGGGUCACAAAGCAUCAGGCAUGACUGAGCGACUGAACAGCAACUGGUUUCUACUUGCUUGAUGCCAAUUCUCAUCAACUCUUGGGUAAAAUGGGCUUUGGAAACUAGAGAUUUGGAAUUUCCCUCAGGCUUGGAAGCAUUAUAUGCCAAGGAGGUGUGGGGAGGCACCAGCAGCAUCUGCUACAGUUAACCCCUAUAGCA